UUUGAUCCUGGCUCAGGAUGAACGCUGACAGAAUGCUUAACACAUGCAAGUCGACUCGAGUCUUCGGACUUGGGUGGCGCACGGGUGAGUAACGCGUAAAGAACUUGCCUCUUAGACCGGGACAACAUCUGGAAACGGAUGCUAAUACCGGAUAUUAUGGUUUUUUCGCAUGGAGGAAUCAUGAAAGCUAGAUGCGCUAAGAGAGAGCUUUGCGUCCCAUUAGCUGUUGGUGAGGUAACGGCCCACCAAGGCAAUGAUGGGUAGCCGGCCUGAGAGGGUGAACGGCCACAAGGGGACUGAGACACGGCCCUUACUCCUACGGGAGGCAGCAGUGGGGAAUAUUGGACAAUGGACCACAAGUCUGAUCCAGCAAUUCUGUGUGCACGAUGACGUUUUUCGGAAUGUAAAGUGCUUUCAGUCGGGAAGAAGUCAGUGACGGUACCGACAGAAGAAGCGACGGCUAAAUACGUGCCAGCAGCCGCGGUAAU
rnacentral:rRNA from 1 species